rnacentral:rRNA from 1 species
CGCCUAGGGUAUUUUCUCUUAGGUCGCGCCUGCCCAAUGAGUGUUUAAAUGGCCGCAGUAUACUGACUGUGCUAAGGUAGCAUAAUAAUUUGUCUUUUAAUUGAAGGCUAGUAUGAAAGGAAUGACGAGGAGAGAUUUCUGUCUCUCUUUUUUAAUAAAAAUUAAAUUGACAUAAAAGUUAAAAGGCUUUUAGAGAUUAGAAGGACGACAAGACCCUAUAAAGCUUUACCUUAUGAAUAAAAAUGAAUAUUUAGAUUAAGUCUUAUUUUUAGUUGGUUUUACUGGGGCGGUAAAAUUUUAAAUUUAACAACAUUAAUAAAAACACCUUAAAUGAAAUUUAUAAUCCUAUGUAAAGAAUUAAGAACAAGUUACUUUAGGGAUAACAGUGUAAUAUUUUUAAAGAGCCCUAAUCGCCAAAAAUGAUUACCACCUCGAUGUUGAAUUGAGAUUCCUCCAUAGACGAAGUUUCUAUGAAAGAAAGUCUGUUCGACUUUUAAAUUUAC